rnacentral:rRNA from 1 species
AGGGGGCUAGCGUUGUUCGGAAUUACUGGGCGUAAAGCGCGCGUAGGCGGGCUAUUAAGCCAGAUGUGAAAGCCCGGGGCUCAACCUCGGAAUUGCAUUUGGAACUGGUAGCCUAGAGACCAGGAGAGGUUAGCGGAAUACCGAGUGUAGAGGUGAAAUUCGUAGAUAUUCGGUGGAACACCAGUGGCGAAGGCGGCUCACUGGCUCGGUACUGACGCUGAGGUGCGAAAGCGCGGG